CGUCCUACGGGGGGCAGCAGUGGGGAAUAUUGCACAAUGGGGGAAAACCUGAUGCAGCAACGCCGCGUGAGUGAAGAAGUAUUUCGGUAUGUAAAGCUCUAUCAGCAGGGAAGAAAAUGACAGUACCUGACUAAGAAGCCCCGGCUAACUACGUGCCAGCAGCCGCGGUAAUACGUAGGGGGCAAGCGUUAUCCGGAUUUACUGGGUGUAAAGGGAGCGUAGACGGCUGCGCAAGUCAGAAGUGAAAGCUCGGGGCUCACCCGCGGGACUGCUUUUGAAACUGUAUAGCUAGAGUGAAGGCGAGG
rnacentral:rRNA from 1 species